UACGUAGGGGGCAAGCGUUGUCCGGAAUCAUUGGGCGUAAAGCGCGUGUAGGCGGCUCGAUAAGUCUGCUGUGAAAGUCCAGGGCUCAACCCUGGGAUGCCGGUGGAUACUGUCGAGCUCGAGUCCGGAAGAGGCGAGUGGAAUUCCUGGUGUAGCGGUGAAAUGCGCAGAUAUCAGGAGGAACACCGGUGGCGAAGGCGGCCCUCUGGACGGUGACUGACGCUGAGACGCGAAAGCGUGGGGAGCAAACAGG
rnacentral:rRNA from 1 species